AUUUUAAUCAAAUAUAAUCCAGAAGGUGAAUACUACUGAUUCUAAAUUUCGGCUGCGAACUUAUUCGUUAAAACUCUCUAAAUUAAACGUUAAAAUAUAUAUAAGACUCACUUAUAUAUAUUGUGAGAAACAAUAUAAUUGUGUCUCAGAUAAACUUGUUGCCUGCAAACAAAAUGUCUUUAUUUGGUGAAUCCUUCAACACUUUUGGUCUCUGGGAUCGCCCACCACAGCACCGUAAUUCCAAGAAGGAGUUGGAGGUAGCUAAAGCUGUACUUAAGGUUAUCUUAAUUCUUGAUGUCGCUUAUUAUCUUUUUAUUGAAUGUGGUGUCCAGUCAAACUAGUGUUGAUUAAAUAUAUUAUCUCAAUAUGUAUUAAUUAAAUUCAGAAAGUAGUUGUAA